GCACUGCCAGCCGAACAAGAAAGCUUGGGCAGCUAUCAGCAUUACAAUGUCGACCACGAAGUUCGGGUUCAUCUUGAUGCUCACAUUAGCAGUCAUGGUGGUGAAAGUCUCAAGUGCACCUGAGGGACCCUAUGGCCUAUUUGGCAAUCGACAAUGUGACAGACGGCCUUGCAGAGGAGAAGGACUCAAUGCCCCUUGCGACUAUCCUACAUGCGAAUGUGUGCCAAGAGGUGAUGGAUACUACUGCAGCUCUGUAAUUUGGUACUAACAUCCUUAAUAAAAUCUAACACAAGACGCU